CCUCACUGGAACAAUUUCUGAGGUCACCUCUGUUGAAAUCUUUGGCAAUUAUUCUGCCACCUUGUGCCAGGGAUGGCCUGUACUCCACUUAUCAACCAGGAUGAUGUCCUCUCUACCUGCCAUGUGCUGGGAAUGCUGGGACUACCAUGAGAAGUCAUAUCUUCCUGGAUCAGGAAUGGUCAUAUAGAGAAAGAGGAAGGCCCAGCAAUCCCAGCUGAAAUCUUAGACAAGAGUUUAAGGCUAUUGCAAAUUAUUCAGUCGAGCUGUCACAGAACCGCCCCACCAACCCAAAUUGUGAGAUAUAAUAUUAUCAUUGUUUUAGGCAACUAUAUUCUGAGGUGGCUUGUUAAACUGCAAAAUUCAAUGUAUUAAUACAUAUCAACAAAAUCCCAAAUGUAUUUGGUUUGGCAGUCUGGUUACUGAAGAUAACCUUCCUGCAAUCUAUGGCUACAAAUGGUAUCCUCUUGAUCCAGCUCUGGCCAAUGACGCAUACACAUACGUUGCUAAUUGGUGUCUGGUAGUGGAGCCAUCUAAAGGGAGGCAAUUCUUUUAGUUAGAAUGAUUCUUUGGCCCUUUGCUUUUCCUCCUCCUUCUUCCCUGGAAUACAGAUAAAAUAAAGGAAGCAUAUUUCAACCAUGAGAUAAAAGUCCCACUCUAAGAAUGGUGGGACAGGAAAAUAGAAAGCAAUUGAGCCCUGAUGGCAGUUUAGCUGCCCUACCAGGUCAGGACUACACAAUCUCCAGACUUUUUGUUGUAUGAGAAAAAAAAUCUUUAAUCCACUGGAAUAAAUGAAUGCAAAUACUAACUCAACGUAUUAAAGAAGGUGGAGUCACUGACGGUUCCUAUUUUGCUG
rnacentral:lncRNA from 1 species